GAGGAAUUAGCUUAAGUGGUAGAGCACUCGCUUGGCAUGCGAGAGGUAGAAGGAUCGAAUCCUGAAUUCCCCA